UGGGGAAUAUUGCACAAUGGGGGAAACCCUGAUGCAGUAACGCCGCGUGAGUGAUGAAGGCCUUCGGGUUGUAAAGCUCUGUCUUUGGGGACGAUAAUGACGGUACCCAAGGAGGAAGCCACGGCUAACUACGUGCCAGCAGCCGCGGUGAUACGUAGGUGGCAAGCGUUGUCCGGAUUUACUGGGCGUAAAGGGAGCGUAGGUGGAUAUUUAAGUGUGAUGUGAAAUACCUGAGCUUAACUUGGGUGCUGCAUUCCAAACUGGAUAGCUAGAGUGCAGGAGAGGAAAGUGUAAUUCCUAGUGGAGCGGUGAAAUGCGUAGAGAUUAGGAAGAACACCAGUGGCGAAGGCAACUUUCUGGACUGUAACUGACACUGAGGCUCGAAAGCGUGGUGAGCAAACA
rnacentral:rRNA from 1 species